AACAUUUGAGUAUCCAGAAAACAUUUAAACAUAAUAAAAAAGCCAUAUAUUUACAAUUUAAAAUAUCUUGAAAAUAUCUGAGUAUGACAGCAGCAUGUCAACAUCUACCAUGCCAACUCAGUAGAGAUAGAUGGACUCUAGUCCUCACGACAUUAAGCACCACUAGCUUGUUGUUUUCUCCCGGCUCACCAUUGACUCACUCACAAGUCACAAAGUGUCCAAGUUCAGGCUCGUGCGCCCAUGGACUUGACGACCAUCGUUGAGGCCCCAGCAUAUAUCUUCCACCAUGCCCGCAGAUGUCCCACUGCUUGUAAUGAUCAAUGCAAAACCUUGUUGCCAUUGAUGUAUCCUGACUGGAUUGGUUCUUGCUCCGUCGUGCCACCACAAUGAUCUCAGAUGGUUGUGGUCAGCGAGGGAUAACCCAGAACAAUCACAUUCUCUAGGGCGGGUGUCAUGGUUCUCAAGAGGUUCCUUUUGGGUGAGCAAUGUGAUGUCCAAGGUGGUUUAAUCAGCAGCACACUAGUGUUUUCUCCGAUACCUCCUAGUCCAAGUAU
rnacentral:lncRNA from 1 species